UACGAAUGGGGCAAGCGUUGUUCGGAAUCACUGGGCUUAAAGCGUGCGUAGGCAGAUUUGCAAGUCAGAAGUGAAAUCCCAGGGCUUAACCCUGGAAUUGCUUUUGAAACUGCAAGUCUAGAAUCUUGAAGAGGUUAGCAGAAUUCCGAGUGUAGAGGUGAAAUUCGCAGAUAUUCGGAGGAAUACCAAUGGCGCAGGCAGCUAACUGGGCAAGUAUUGACGCUGAGGCACGAAAGCGUGGGGAGCAAACAGG
rnacentral:rRNA from 1 species